AGAGUUUGAUCCUGGCUCAGAACGUACGCUGGCGGCACGCCUAACACAUGCAAGUCGAACGAAGUAGCAAUACUUAGUGGCAGACGGGUGAGUAACAUGUGGGUAUCUACCCUUUGGCCUGGAAUAACACGAGGAAACUUGUGCUAAUACCGGAUAAGUCUUUACGGAGAAAGCUUUAUGCACCAUUGGAUGAGCCCGCACUUGAUUAGUUUGUUGGUAGGGUAAUGGCCUACCAAGACUAUGAUCAAUAGCUGAUUUGAGAGGAUGAUCAGCCACAUUGGGACUGAGACACGGCCCAAACUCCUACGGGAGGCAGCAGUGGGGAAUCUUGCACAAUGGAGGAAACUCUGAUGCAGCGAUGCCGCGUGAGUGAAGAAGGCCUUUGGGUUGUAAAGCUCUUUCGUCGGGGAAGAAAAUGACUGUACCCGAAUAAGAAGGUCCGGCUAACUUCGUGCCAGCAGCCGCGGUAAUACGAAGGGACCUAGCGUAGUUCGGAAUUACUGGGCUUAAAGAGUUCGUAGGUGGUUGAAAAAGUUGGUGGUGAAAUCCCAGAGCUUAACUCUGGAACUGCCAUCAAAACUUUUCAGCUAGAGUAUGAUAGAGGAAAGCAGAAUUUCUAGUGUAGAGGUGAAAUUCGUAGAUAUUAGAAAGAAUACCAACUGCGAAGGCAGCUUUCUGGAUCAUUACUGACACUGAAGAACGAAAGCAUGGGUAGCGAAGAGGAUUAGAUGCCCUCGUAGUCCAUGCCGUAAACGAUGUGUGUUAGACGUUGGAAAUUUAUUUUCAGUGUCGCAGGAAACCGAUAAACACACCGCCUGGGGAGUACG
rnacentral:rRNA from 1 species